rnacentral:lncRNA from 1 species
AAAGCAACAGCGUUUUUACAUUUCCGAUCGAUAAGUUUACAUUAAAAGAAAAAAGUAAAGAAGCCGUUUCGAUUAACGUUAACGGCAACAAUCCUGUUAGCCAUUAUACUGAAGUAAUUCGAUUCAAGGCAUGUAACGAUUAUUCUAUUGAACUUUUUUUAUUAUGUGAAAUUAAAAAUAUAAAAUUGGUUUUACAGAAAACUUUAUAUAUAUUUGAAAAUAACAAAAUAGGAGAUACAAUAAAUGAAAAAAUAUUAAUAAGAAAUGAUGAAGAUACAGAUUUAGAUGUAGAAGUUAUAAAUUCAGGAUAUUUUUUUUAUAUAAAAAAUAAAAAAUUUAUAAUAAAAAAAAAUAGUUUCCAUUCUAUAUAUCUAGUAUGUAAUUGUAUUUAUCCAAUUAAUGUUUAUAAAAGAAUAUAUUUUUUAGUACACUUGAAUAAAAAAAUAUUUUAUAUAGAUAUCAUUUGCAACUUUUCUAUAAGCUAUAAAAUGCCUCCUUUGUCUAUUCAUCAUAUAUAUAGAUAUAAACGUUUAAUUCAUGACAAAAAUAUAGUAUACAAUUCAUAUUAUGAAAAAGAUGAGUAUAUUGACAUAUGGGAUUUUCCAGUCGAGUUUGAUUCAUAUGAAGAUACCGCAUACGAGUUACUGAAUGACAUCUUGGAAAUAAGUGAAAAAGACGUAUUUGCAGUACCUAAAGAAUUAGAAGUACGAGAAAUGGAAGAAAAAGAUUUAAUGCUAAUAAAUAAAACGCCAGUUGAAUAUAUAUGUGUAUGGUUAAAUGCAGUUGAUAAACUGGAGCAGGGAAUUUUUGAAGUAACUCCUAAAGAAGCACCAUUGUUGCCAUUCGGCUAUCAAAAAUUUAGGUACAUUUAUAUUUAACUAUGUUUGUUCUCAUAUGCAUGUGCAUAUUUCAUUUAUUUAUUCUAUAUAUUUAGUCUCUUUUUCAGUUAUACACGUUAAUCUUUUCACUUUUUUUUUUUUUUUUUUUUAAGAGUAAAAAAUAUAAAAAGUUUGAAAAAGAAAUAUGUUUGUGAAGUAUACGAAUGUAUUGUGUUUCCGUCUAACAACAAAGACUAUACGAAAUGCAACAGCAAAACAUUAUUAACACCCUUCUUUAUAUAUGCUACUUUUUUUCAAUUUAAUACAAAAUAUAUGUGUGAAACAGAAAACGUGAAAGACAGU